UGGGGGUGAUGUGGAGCCCCAAAAGGAGCCCUGUUGGCUUUGCCACCUGCUGCCUGUGUGAUGUGAGUUAUGCAUUUAACUUCUCCGAGUCUCACUUCAGUCUCCUCACCCUUUGACUCAGCACUCCAUUCUUAAGCAUCUAUCUCAAAAAACAAUACUUACACAAGUAUUGAAAAAGAUAGGCUAGGCGUGGGCCACCACUCUUGGCCAGACAACUACUUUGUUAGUGAACUUUAAAGAAAAGAUUUCAGAUGACGGCAAGAUUAGAUUUUGUAUACCAUAGGAGUGAGUCUUCUUUUCACUCACUAAGCAAAUAUAUGUAUCAUUCCAGUAAUUUGUGGAUUUUGCAUUCUAAGUAUGUUUGAAGUUGCACAGCUACCAGCAAGUACAUCUGGCUGGAACUCACCAAACCCUGUUUGUACUUAAAUCGCUUCAUAAUUUCAAAAAGGGGUAACCAUAUAGCCCACCUCCCAGGAUUACUAAUUUGGUUUCUACCCAUAGAAAUUUGUACCUUCCACCCAGGUCGAUUAAGUGGAUUUUACAUUCCUUUGGCUCUUAUGAUUUGAUAAUGUCUUUCCUUCCUCUCUCCCUCCCUCUCUCUCUCUCUCUUUCUUUCUUUCUUUCAGACGAGAGUUGUGCUCUUGUUGCCCAGGCUCGAGUGCAAUGGUGCAAUCGCAGCUAACUGCAACUUCCGCCUCCUGGGUUCAAGCGAUUCUCCCGCUUUAGCCUCCCGAAUAGCUGGGAUUACAGGCAUGCGCCACCACACCCAGCUAAUUUUGUAUUUUGAGUACAGACGGGGGAUUUUCCAUGUUAGUCAGGCUGGUCUUGAACUCCGGACUUCAGGUGAUCCGCCCAUCUCGGCCUCCCAAAGUGCUGGGAUUACAGACAUGAGCCACCGCGCCUUUUCUUUCUAAUUCUUAAGACUUUGAGACUUGAUGAGUUCUGCUUCUUUUCAUAUACUUCUCAUGUUAAAACCACAAAACCCUAUCAGAUAUUAAUGGCAGUCAAUGAAUGUGGUAACAACCUAGUGGAAAGUAUAUGGGCAUUUAUUAGUCUUUCCACUAUUUGGUAUGUUUGAAAUUUUUUCCUUUUUUUUUUUCCCUUUUUUUUGUUUGGAGACAGAGUUUUGCUCUUGUUGCCCAGGCUGGAGUGCAAUGGUGCGACCUCUGCUCACUGCAACCUCCGCCUCCUGGGUUCAGACAAUUCUCCUGCCUCAACCUCCCGAGUAGCUGGAAUUACAGGCAUG
rnacentral:lncRNA from 1 species